rnacentral:lncRNA from 1 species
AUCACCACCAACCACAUCACCCACCAUCACCCCCAACCACAUCAUCACCAACCACACCCACCACUAUCACCACCAACCACAUCACCACCAACCACAUCACCAAUCACAUCAUGCACCAACCACAUCACCAAUGACAUCACCCACCAACCACAUCACCACCAACCACAUCACCCACCACCACCACCAACCACAUCAUCACCAAAUCACCAACCACAUUACCCACCACCACCACGACCCACCAUCACCCUCAACCACAUCAUCACCAACCACAUCACCACCAACCACAUCACACCAACCACAUCACCACCAACCACAUCACCCACCACUAUCACCACCAACCACAUCGCCACCAACCACAUCACCCACCAUCACCACCAACCACAUCACCACCAACCACAUAACCACCAACCACAUCACCCACCACUAUCACCCCCAACCACAUCACCCACCACUAUCACCCCCAACCACAUCACCACCAACCACAUCACCCACCACUAUCACCCCCAACCACAUCACCACCAACCACAUCACCCACCAACCACAUCACCCACCACUAUCACCACCAACCACACCACCAACCACAUCACCCACCACUAUCACCACCAACCACAUCACCCACCACUAUCACCCCCAACCACAUCACCCACCACUAUCACCACCAACCACAUCACCCACCAUCAUCACCAACCACAUCACCCACCACUAUCACCACCAACCACAACACCCACCAUCACCCCCAACCACAUCACCCACCACUAUCACCCCCAACCACAUCACCCACCACUAUCACCACCAACCACAUCACCCACCAACCACAUCACCACCAACCACAUCACCCACCACUAUCACCCCCAACCACAUCAUCACCAACCACAUCACCCAUCACUAUCACCACCAACCACAUCACACCAACCACAUCAUGCCAACCACAUCACCCACCACUAUCAGCACCAACCACAUCACACCAACCACAUCACCACCAACCACAUUACUACCACAUCACCUACCAUCAUCAUCACCACCAACCACAUCACCUGUCACCAACCACAUCAUCAUCACCAACCAUAUCACCCAGCACUAUCACCACAAACCACAUCACCCACCACCACCAACCACAUCAACACCACCCCAACUACAUCACCAUCACCACCACCACACAACACCAACCACAUUAUCAUCACCAACCACAUCACCUCCACCACCAUGCCCCCAACCACAUCACCACUACCAUUACCACCAACCACAUCAUCCACCACCAUUACCAACCACAUUCAACAACAACCACACCACCACCACCAUCACCAACCACAACAACCAUAUCAUCAUCAAUCACC